UCUGAACCAAGCCAUGCCGCGUGCAGGAAAGACAGCCUCUGGGUCGUAAACUGCUUUUAUUCGGGAAUAAACCUACUUACGUGUAAGUAGCUGAAUGUACCGAAGGAAUAAGGAUCGGCUAACUCCGUGCCAGCAGCCGCGGUAAUACGGAGGAUCCAAGCGUUAUCCGGAUUUAUUGGGUUUAAAGGGUGCGUAGGCGGCUUAUUAAGUCAGGGGUGAAAGACGGUGGCUCAACCAUCGCAGUGCCCUUGAUACUGAUGAGCUUGAAUACACUAGAGGUAGGCGGAAUGUGACAAGUAGCGGUGAAAUGCAUAGAUAUGUCACAGAACACCGAUUGCGAAGGCAGCUUACUAUGGUGUCAUUGACGCUGAGGCACGAAAGCGUGGGGAUCAAACAGGAUUAGAUACCCUGGUAGUCCACGCCCUAAACGAUGAAUACUCGCUGUUAGCGAUACACAGUUAGCGGCUAAGCGAAAGCGUUAAGUAUUCCACCUGGGGAGUACGCCCGCAAGGGUGAAACUC
rnacentral:rRNA from 1 species